rnacentral:pre_miRNA from 1 species
UUAACUCAAUUUUGUAUGCAGUUGAACAGCGCCCCUGGCGGCAAACGUAGGCAUACGUUCCAACUCCAUACAAAUUUGAGUUA